rnacentral:rRNA from 1 species
UACGAAGGGGGCUAGCGUUGCUCGGAUUGACUGGGCGUAAAGGGCGCGUAGGCGGUUCGUACAGUCAGACGUGAAAUUCCUGGGCUCAACCUGGGGGCUGCGUUUGAUACGUGCGGACUUGAGUGCGGAAGAGGGUCGUGGAAUUCCCAGUGUAGAGGUGAAAUUCGUAGAUAUCGGGAGGAACACCGGUGGCGAAGGCGGCGACCUGGGUCGAGACUGACGCUGAUGCGCGAAAGCGUGGGGAGCAAACAGG